UUUUUAGGAGACCUCACUAAAUUCAUAUAUUUUAGCAACGUUUCAGUGCACUGGGUUACCAUACCGUCCUCAAACAUCCCUCAGUUCUAGCUGUCUCUCCUCACAUUCCUUCAACCCCUUCUCCCCUUUCCCUUCCCCAAUCCUUCUGUUUCUGUCCCGCCCCCUUGGAGGAACUUAGCCAAUCAGGCCCCGCUACAAUGCUGGCAUAUGUGCCUCCCUGAGACAUCCUAGAAUCCGUUGGCACAGCAAGAGACUGCUGAUGGAGAGAGCCACUGAGGAAAAGACAGCACCACAUCUGGCUACCUGAGAGCCCACGAGAUCCUGGGGGUGAAGGUAUCAGAUUUAUUUAUUCAUUAUAUAUCAGAACCCUGUCAAUGUCUUCAGACACACCAGAAGAGGGCAUCGGAUCUCUUUACAGAUGGUUGUGAGCCACCAUGUGGUGGCUGGGAUUUGAACUCAGGACCUCUGGAAGAGCAGCCAGUGCUCUUAACCACUGAGCCAUCUCUCCAGCCCCUCUCUCCACUUCUUACCACUGACGGUACUGUUGCAGAGAAACCAUCUAACAGGCCUAAGAAGCUAUUUAAGAUGAAUCCAAAUACCAAGGAGGAAGUAAGGAUUUUAACGGUACAUCAUCGGCAAGUGAUGAGAGCAUGGACUACUUUUAUCAGGUCGCUUCGCCUUCAUGUGUGAGUAUGGCACUGAGGCAGCAUCUUGGAGUGGGCGGUACUCAGUGUGCAGUGGCCAUCUUCUUUGUGUGCUUGUGACAGCCAUCCUGGGGUCUUCCCUCACUAUGCCCAGGGGCAGUCCCUUCAACUCCCCCACAUAAAUCUCCUGGUUCAGCCACUAUGGAAAUCACCGUGGCAGCUCUUCAGGAAGUUGAGAAUUUCUCUACCUCAAGAACCAGCUGUAAUAUUCUGGGAUGUCCACCCACAGGCUCUCCAUCCUACCACAGAGAUGCUUACUUGUUCAUCCAUGUUCACAUCUGCGCUAUCCAUAGUAGCCAAAAGUUGGAAAUAGCCUAGAUGCCGCGCCUGCAGCAGAGAUAACCGAGCUCCAGGGCAGACAUGACUCCUGAGUGGGAGCCGGUUCGAGGGUUCGCACCACACGUGGUUAAGCCCCCUGCUUGCAUGCGGCGGACUCCAAGAAGAUGUGCACCUGGACUUGCCCCCUGCUGCAAACUUGGCUCUGGGCUGAUGGGCAUCUGGGUCAUGGGAAAGAUCGUUGUCAGCACUUAUUUCUUUAUUUUUUCUUUGUUUGAUUCUGAAUAUGAUCUUGGCAAGACAGAGACUUCCUUUAAUAAUAGGACAGAAGGUCGUGAUCUAUUUUUGAUCACUAAUACCACAAGCUUUCCUGCUUCCUCUUUAUAGCAGACAGAGCCUCUGAUGACAGGGACUCCAAGGUUGCAGAUUAUGUCUUCUCUUAUAGAUAAGGAAAUAUAAGAUUUAGCAAAGAAUUAUACUUAUAAGGAUAGUGAUGCUUCUUCUAUUAGGUGUUGGUAGAACUGUUGAGAAAUGAUUCCUUGAGCUUUGGGUCGGCUAUGAAUAUUUUACAGAGUAUAGAAACAGGUGGUGGCAACCAGGUACUUACAGGGGACCAUAUGUGCAUUGACCAACGGAUGCUCCAUUACCAUAUACUGGAGAAUAUGAUUUGAAUUUUGAUAGGUGGGUUACUAAGGAUGGAUAUAAGGUCAGGUAUUUGUCACUGCCUUGGUCAGAAAGAUUGGCAAGAGCCCGUCCUCCUUGGUGUGUGCUCUCAGAAGAAGAGAAAUGGGAGGUAAGGUCACAGAUCAUCAGAUACUUUAGACAGGGAUCAGGCAUGCAAUAUUAUUGCCCCAAGCCUUGGAUGUACAUCUAUAGGACUAACAAAGAUGGGAUCAAAGGGUUAACUAGAGCGAUAGAACUAGAUGCACAGACCUGAUGGCGUAAGAUAUGCCAGACUUGCGGUCCCCUGAAACUUCCUCCUUGAUGUGACAAACGGAAAACUAGACUAGGCUGGCUGACUGUGGCUCGUCUGAAAAAAAAGCAAGCUAUACCUUUUUGCAGAAAAAUCAAAUGUUCUUGGCCAUGGUCCAAGAUUGUUAUGCAAUGAAAAUUGUGUAUAAAUGUCUGAUGCUCUCUCAGUAAAGUUGCAACAGCUGACCACACUCUCUCUGUGUCUGUGUCUCUGUUCGCCAUCCCGUCUCCGCUCCACGCGUGUCCUCAACAGGGGUCUCCCCGCGGAUCCUUGGAACCUCCAAGAUUGCCGACCGCGGCACCUAGAUGCCCAUCAGUUGAUGAAAGAGUAAUGGAAAUGUGGUACAUUUACACCGUGGAAUAGUAUUCAAGUGUUAAUAAAAAUGAAAUUAUGAAAUUCACAGGUAAAUGGAUGGAGCUUAAAAAAAAAGUCUUCCUCAGUGAGGUAAUGCAGACUGCAAAAGGCAAAUAUUGCAUGUUUUAUGUAUGAAUUUUAGCUUUAAAUAUGUGUGCUACAAUCUCCAUAGCUAGAGAGCUUAGGUGUCUAGUUAGGGGCCAGGGGAAAAAGAGGAUGUCUUGAGGAAGAGGAAAUAGAAUAUAGGGUUAUAGAGAGAUAAAGGGAAAACUAGAAUUAUGAGGAUUAAGUGGGGAGGAGAUGUAUCUUAGUUAGGGUUUCUAUUGCUACAGUGAAACACCAUGACCACAAAGCAAGUUUGGGAGGAAAGGGCUUAUUUGACUUACACUUGUAUAUCACUACUGUUCCUCAUCAAAGGAAGUCAGGGCAGGAACUCAAGCAGGAACCUGAAGGCAGGGGCUGAUGCAGAGACCAUGGAGGAGUGCUUUUUGCUGGCUUGCUUUCCACGACUUACUCAGCCUUCUUAUAGAUCCUGGGACCACUAGCUCAGGGAUGCAACCAUUCACAUUGAGCUAGGCUCUCCCCCAUCAAUAACUAAUUAAGAAAAAUGCCUUAUAUGCAGAUCUUAUGGAGGCAUCUUCUCAGUUAAGCUUCCCUUCUUUCAGAUAACUCUAGUGAGUAUGUCAAGUUGACCUAAGACCAGCCAGCACACAGUGGGACAGCAGGGUAAAGGAAGGAAUACAUCAAUGGAUAAGUGAUACUAAAGGCCUUUUGAAAAUCUGUGUGAAAACUUACUACUAUAGAACGUUUAAAAUACAUAUAUAAAGGUAACCUAAGUGACACCCUAAAUAACAAAAUAGACAAUGCCCAACUAGACAUUGUAUGCCACCAACCAAAACCUCCAGUGCCAGGAAUGGGUUAUAUCUUGUUGAGUCAUUGGCCAAAGGUCCCAUGGAACCUCCUCCUCUGUGAUGGUUUGUAUAUGCUUGGUCCAGGGUGUGGCACUAUUAGGAUGUGUGACCUUGUUGAAGUAGGUGUGUCACUGUGAGUGUGGGAGUUAAGACCCUCUGUCCUAUUGAACUACCUGAAGACCCAGCUAUACCUCUCUUGGGCAUAUACCCAAAAGAUGCCCCAACAUAUAACAAAGACACGUGCUCCACUAUGUUUAUAGCAGCCUUAUUUAUAAUAGCCAGAAGCUGGAAAGAACCCAGAUGCCCUUCAACAGAGGAAUGGAUACUGAAAAUGUGGUACAUCUACACAAUAGAAUACUACUCAGCUAUCAAAAACAAUGACUUUAUGAAAUUCAUAGGCAAAUGGAUGGAACUGGAAAAUAUCAUCCUGAGUGAGGUAACCCAAUCACAGAAAAACACACAUGGUAUGCACUCACUGAUAAGUGGAUAUUAGCCCAAAUGCUUGAAUUACCUUAGAAGCACAGAACACAUGAAACUCAAGAAGGAUGACCAAAAUGCGAAUGCUUCACUCCUUCUUUAAAAGGGGAACAAGAAUACCCUUGGCAGGGAAUAGGGAGGCACAGUUUAGAACAGAGGCAGAAGGAACACCCAUUCAGAGCCUGCCCCACAUGUGGCCCAUACAUAUACAGCCACCCAAAUAGACAAGAUGGACGAAGGAAAGAAGUGCAGGCCGACAGGAGCCGGAUGUAGAUCUCUCCUGAGAGACACAGCCAGAAUACAGCAAAUACAUAGGCGAAUGCCAUCAUUAAACCACUGAACUGAGAAUGGGACCCCUGUUGAAGGAAUCUUAGAAAGGACUGAAAGAGCUUGAAGGGGCUUGAGACCCCAUAUGAACAACAAUGCCAGGCAACCAGAGCUUCCAGGGACUAAGCCACUACCCAAAGACUAUACAUGGACUGACCCUGGACUCUGACCCCAUAGGUAGCAAUGAAUAGCCUAGUAAGAGCACCAGUGGAAGGGGAAGCCCUUGGUCCUGCCAAGACUGAACCCCCAGUGAACGUGACUGUUGGGGGGAGGGCGGUAAUGGAGGGGAGGGGAACACCGAUAGAGAAUGGGAGGAGGAGGGGUUAGGGGGGAUGUUGGCCAGGAAACUGGGAAGGGGAAUAACAAUUGAAAUGUAAAUAAGAAAUACUCAAUAAAGAUGGGGAAAAAAUGGUUUAUUAGGUCCCAAAUGUCUCAAGCUAAGGAUAGCAGGAAAAAUGUUGAGUGGUCAUGUGUGGCUCUGUAUUAGCUUCAUAACUUCAUUGUAACAUUUUUAAAACUUCCAGAAUUAUAAAUUCAGAUUGUAAGAGCUAAAGGAAUGACGUCAAAACAGCACUUAGCAAUUAAGAUCAUCUUGGUUUAGAUCUUUUGGUUUCAGGCAAUAAUGAUUAAAUCCCUGAACUAUGGAAUCAGAAAAAGAAAGAAAGAAAGCUAUUCUCUAAAGAAUAGCUAAAUGGGCAUAAGGUGUGGGAUGGAACCUCAGUAAACAAAAGCUCAGAGCGUGAAUAGAUCGGUGCUAUUAGAGUCUCUCCAAUACUGAAAUGGCUCUCGCCUGGAAAGCAAUGGUCCAGUCCCACCACCAGGAACUGAUUCAGGAUGGAGAGAGCCUCAGAUAGUCGCAAGGAAUGGCCAACUCUGCCGAAGGCAUUUCAUUAGCACCUGGAGCGCCCUCCUCUUCUAUCUAACACCUUUGAGUCACCUGUACAAGGACCAACUCUGUUUUCUAAUAUACUAUAAUCAUGUGAGAGUAAAAUUUUAUACUUUUAUGCCACUUUCAAUCUUGAAACAACUUCAAAAUUUACCAUGAAUUAUAAACUGCACUGAAAAGAAAAUCCCUGUAUACUACUUACCCAUCUUUUCAAGACGCUAAUAUUGAAGAAAGACACAGUACAAUAAUCAAAACUGCGACAGGACCUUUGGAAGCAUCACUAUUAGCUAAGCUACAGGCUAUAUUCGAUUGCUAAUAGUUGCCCCACAAAUAUCCUUCAUCUGAAGUCCUAGGUGCAACUAGCUACCCUGGCUCCUUAUUGCCCCCAAUCCCUCACUGACAAGGUAGAUUCCCAGUCUUCCUCUCUCAUAACCGCCAUCCUUCUGAGAAGUGUCAUAAACCCGGGAAACCCCCGGAGUGGCUUCAUUCAAAACAUCUCUGUGGUUAGUUCCAAGGUGUCUGGAUGAACUGGCUUUUCUUGCAGGAAGAACUGCAAUCACCAGCAAGCCCUAGAGUAGACAGAGGAGGGUGGGAAUACGGUUGGUAGGUGCAGGCGUGCACCGCCCCCCGGCCCAUGCCCACCACCCCUAGCUUACUGAUAAAAGGAGGUUUGUAAUCUCUUGUCUCUUUGAACACCUGCCACAGUGCGGAGCUGGUUACCUAGACAUCCCCCUCAUUCACAAGAUCUGCUGGGAGCAUGGAUGCCUACAUGGACUCGUCAGGGCUGCUUAGGACCAGGAGUAAUUAGUAACAAUGGUUUCCAACCUUCCUUGAAGUUUUACACCAAGACCACAUUAUCAAGGUCAAAGGUUUCCUCUCUUACAUGCUUUUUCUCCUUAAGGUAAGGUAGCAUCCUCCCGACCAGGCUCCCCAAGAGCGGAGGAAAAAAAAAAUGUCAACAGCAUAGAUAGUGUGGUACUACAUCACCACCUAGUGUUCAAAGUAACACAGUGCAGCCUAGACCUACCUCUGCCGUUCUGUCCAUCACUGGGAAUAAUUGGUUCACAAUCUUCAAGAUACACAAAAACUUGGCAAGCUUGCUCUAAAUUUCCAGCGUGACAAGCCAGAUUUACCAGGGAAAAACUCUGGAGUCUGGCAAUCCCUCCUCUUGUUUUAGCAAGCUUUGUUCAGUUACUGACCUUCCUAAUACUUUUUUUUUCCCCCUACAAAUACAUGAGUGCUGAAUCCAUACCAGGCCCAAUAAACGUGUUCCCUUUCAUCCCCUACACCACUGGUUUCUCAACCAUGAGACCCCACAGGGGUGGCAUAGCAAAUAUCCUGCCUAUCAGAUAUUUAUAUUGCAAUUUAUAACAGUAGCAACAUUAGUUAUUAAGUAGCAACAAAACAAUUUUGUGGUUGGGGGUCACCACAACACGAGCAGCAGCGUUAAAGGGUUGCAGCAUUAAGAAGACUGAGAAACAUUGCUCUGUAUCUUUUUGUAAACCAAAAACCUUCCAUAUCACCCUGAAAUGACCAGAGGAGAGUUCAGAAAAGGCUUCUGAACUCUUACUUUUGUUGCUAAUACGUCUGCUCGUCCCUAACAUCAGCAGGUGCCAAUCAUUCUCCUCAGCUCUGGAGCACUCGUCUCUGGCAGCCCUGCGAUCAUGGUAAUAAAUGUUUACACCAUGACUUUUCUUGUUUUCACAACAGAAAGCUUGGUGCAAAACAAGCUCACCCUACUUUGCUUCAGAGCUAAGAACCCCACAUGCCUUGUUCGUAAGACUGGACUGUAAAUGUUGAGAGUGCACAGUAUGAAACGAACAGAAUGCUAUGAUGUACCACCUGCAGGGUCUGGAGCGAGUUACUUAAUUAAGUGUGGUGUUCUCAUCUGGGAAACAGAAGUAACACUUGGAAGUUACAACCCUGAGUUGUUUUGAAAACAUUUUAAAAUGAUGGUGUACAAUUAACAUAGAAUAGGUAUCCUGUCUUGUUUUGUCAACUUGAUACAAGCUAGUUAUUUGGGAAGAGAAAUCUCAACUGAGAAAAUGCCUCAGUCAGACUACCUGUAGGCAAGACUGUAAGGUAUUUUCUUGAUUAGUGAUUUAUGUUAGUGCACCUAGCCAAUUGUGGGCAGUGCCACCCCUGUGCAAAUGGUCCUGGGUGAUAUAAGAACGCAAGUUAAGCAAGCCAUGGGGAGGAAGCCAUGGGGAGCAAGCCAUGGGGAGCAAGCCAUGGGGAGCAAGCCAGUAGGCAAGAAUCUUCAUGCUCUUCCCUUUAGUUCCUGCCUCUAGGCUCCAGCCUUGAGUUCCUACCCUGACUUCCCUGCAAGGUGAACUUUCCUCCCCAAGUUGCUUUUGGUCACGGUGGUCAUCCCAGGGCAGCAGGAAUAUGGCAUGUGUUUAAACAUCAGCCUUAAAGUAUCUAUUAUGUGACUGGGCAAGAUGGCCCCAAACCAGCCUCUUCUGUGCUUCUUCCAUGAGAAUGGCAAUGGGUGAAGACCAUGUGUGUUCAUGGUUUCCCACUUGCCUCUUGUAGCCUUGGGUCACUCGGAGAGACUUGAGCUGCUGCACGUACUCCACGAACAGUGUGUGCAAGCAGUGGUCUGCAGUCAGUGGAAGAGUCCGAAUUCAGCAGGACUGGGAAGUGAGUGUUGACAAGAUGACUUCCAAAUGGCUCCCCAAGACUGGGACCUCCAGGAUGUACCCAGAGGACGAUUCUCAGCAGGCUCCAUGGGGUCCUUUAAGCACUGUUCCAUAUUCCUGUUCUGCAUGUUUCCUGAUGCUUGAAUAUCGGAACAUCCAAAGUAUAAUGAAUAUAAAAGAAAUGAGGCACAAUAAAUGUGCUUUGUGCCCACCAGAAGGCUGCCACACCUUGCAGUCCCAAGGGUGGACCUUCCGCCAGUGGAGAUGAGCCAGCUAGCCGCACUGGCUUCCCAGAGCCUGGCCCACUUCUACAGCUCCAGUGCCAGCAUUGCAGAGUCAACAAGAUUCAAGGUGACCGCAGUCCACUAAACUGUGGAUAUCGAGCCUAACUAUGAGGGAAAAAUUAAUCAUGGAUUUAAAAAAACAAACCUGCCGCUGGACUACACAACUGUGGCUCCAGAACUGGUCUCCAGCCCAGGGCCAUCUCAGCAGUGAUGGUGGGGAGACAGCGACGGCUUAGUAUACUAGGCUGUGGGGUCACGCGACAGAGCAAAUGUCUCCUCUCCCCUGCCCUUGAAUCGCCCUUCUUUGUCCACACAUAACAGAAUCUUUCACUGGAGAAAACCUCAUCUUCUCUGUCAAGUGUAAGAAAUAGAAGAAGUCCUUAGAAGCAUUCUAGAGAACAUGGUUCUGGUUGUCACUAGUCACCAGUGGCCUUCGGACCAGUCCCCCGACUUCUGUAUACCCUCUUUCCCUAUCUGAAAACCAUCUUUAAGCAGCACGGCUGUUCGGCACCAUCAGGCCCCUCCAAAACAUGGCGGACACCUGACUAGUUUGUUUUUACCAAGACUUACUAAAAGUCAGGCUGGUGUGAUUAAAUUAACAAAAUAGAGAUAAUAAGUAAAAACAGGAACACAUUUACUAUCUCUAGAACCUAUAGCUACUCCCCUCUCAGGCAAACCUGACCAGCAUCUUCCUCCUGAGGCUCGGCCUGAGACACAGUAUCCUGCAGUGUCCCUGUAACUAUGGCACUUCCACAAAAGUGCCCCCAAGGUGCUGCUUCUCAACAAAUCCCACAAGGCUUCUCGCUAGCUCCCAACAAAAGGAAAUACACUUAUCAGGAGUUCCGAUAGCUAUGCGUUCCUCUGCUAGAACUGCAGACUUUUCUGUAGGAGCCUCAGGUCCCAGCCCGGGGAGCAUAUCUGCCAGCAUCAGUUGGCCUGAAAACUAAGAGGUGCCCUUUGGAAUGGAAAAAGGCCAAACUGACCUGAAAGACAUUAAGUCUUUCAAAAAAAACUUGUAAAAUUUAAAUAUACUUUUGCAGGUAAAUUAGUAUUGAAGAGCUUAAAUAAGUAUCCCAUAAGGCUGUUUAUCAUAAUUGACUUUUUAUUUAAAAAAGUACAGGGAGCAAUUUCCAGCAUAUUUUAUAAAAGUACUGCCAUAUCAAACAUUUUGUGUCACUUAAUUCCAAUGAAGAGCUGCCUUUUUUUCUUUUAAGGUACUAAUUCCAACUGAUGGGACAUGUGUCCUUAAAAUAGAAAGUUUCCAUCAUUUAUUCAAAUGUCAAAAUUAAUAUUUUUGAGAAGUUUAUUGCUUUAUGGGUGGGCAAGAUGCUACUAGCACAUUUUAGGUAAAUAAACUUUAUUAAAAACUAUGAGGUCAUUUCUGUUUAAAACUUUCAGGAUAAUUCACAGAAAAUAGAUAUAUUUAUUCAAAGUACACACUGAAGGGCUGGCCAUCUAGCUAUGAACAUUUAAAGUGUAGCAGCUCUUUAAAGAAGUAACACACAGUGGUUCUGCUCAGCGCACUACACAUAAUUGAAAUGAAUAAAACUGGAAGACCAGUACUGUUAGGCUAUGUUCUGUUAGGAUCUUUAAACAAACAAAGAGAAACCACAAGCUUAGUAGUCCAUUUGUGCUUAAAAUAUUCAUAUGCAUGAGAAGCUUAAAGAAAAGACCUCUGUACAUGAUCAUCAAAAAAAAAAGUUAUACAUUUUUUUUAAAAUUGCACUGUUAUUUAAACCACUUUCCUAAAGUCAAACCCUCCUUUGCAGCUGGCACAGUUUUUCAGGUCUAAUUGGCAACUUGGGGAGGCCCCUCUGGUAUCAGUGAAGUAAAAAAGGUGGUGAUAAAAGACCAAGCGGAAGCCAUUAGCCCAGGCCUUUGAGCUGCACUGGCAUCUUCACCUGCAUCUUCUCCACUCUCAUCUUCGAGUCCAUCAUCCAUAAGGCGCUCCUUUCAAACAACACAAACAUACUCCUGAGUACUCGGUACCACACACAAGCCUAUAUUAGCAGAGGGCUAACGCUUUCUGUGGCUAGAAGAAAUCUGAGUGUGUCAGUAGAGCAAAUGGUAAUCCAGGGCCACUAGAAAUCUCUGCGAAGUCUAAAAUCCAUAAAUUCUGCAGUGUGCAAAUAACUGACAAUAUAAUACAUCUUUACCGCAGGCAUAAUUUCCUUUCUAGACUGUGUUUGGAAGCUAAUGCUUCCCAUUUGUUCUAACAUACACUAUGACUAACUCGGGCAUUCCACGCCCAGUACCCAGAUGAAACCACCCCAGUUUCUACGCUAGCUUUCUCUCCGUGGGCCUUCCACAGGUAUCUAUGGGACAUCCAGGGUGUAUCAUCGUGUCUGUCCCAUGUAGGGCUAAGGGCUAUCUGCCUUUAAAAAUCCACUCAAACCUCCAUAACCUACCAUUUCUUCAAGUUCUAGGUUGUUUGCAUUCUGCCCCUCGUUGUUAGCGUCAACAUUGUUGGGAGCCUGUUGUUGACCGCCUUCUUGCCUGAAAGGAAACCAUCCAGCUUGGUGUCUGUUCAGUGAAACAGAAAGAAAAGAAGCCACAGUCACUUGUAUUUGUAACACAAUUAAGUAGUGUCCCUCAAGAAAAGUAAACUACUGGAGCUAUUAUAAAAGAUAAAGAACAGGUAUCGUCCUUCAAGCUAGGGGAUUUCUCAAGGUAAUGCCGGCAAAACAAAACCCAAUUCAACCCUGAAAGCUUAUAUUGCACAUAACUGGCUCAGUGUGACACAUUAAAUCACAAAACCUUUGGGACAAAAAAAAAAAAAAAAGAAA